AGAAAUUUAGGUUAAUAUAAGACCAAAAGCCUUCAAAGCUUUUAGUAAGUUAAGCAUACUUAAUUUCUG
rnacentral:tRNA from 1 species